UUGGUGAACGUGUCGCGUGUACGCGUCGAUGGCGUAAAUUUAAUAAAAAUAAUUUUGAGGUAUAUUAAUAAAAAUACAACCAGUGUAAAAAAUAAAAUAAAAAAACAAAACUGAGACAUACCGGGCUGCAUGCACUCUAAUUCAAACGUCUAUACUAUAAUGUGUGUACGAAUGAUGGCAAAACAUUUGUAUAAAUAAAUUUCGUAACGUAGACGUAAAUACUUCUCGGUCGUUCGCGAAGUCGUAGUUCACAAGUUUUCACAUUGCAACAAAUCGGCCCAUAGUUACAUUUUGGUUAAUUUAGUGAAACAAUUGUGGGAAAAUAUAUAUUUAUUGAGAAAUAUAUAGCAAAAAGGUAGCAGAUAAAAAUCAUUUCGAGUUAAUAGCAACGAAAACGAAAAAACAUGCAGUUUAAUUUGUGAAAACAAUUGGGAUCGCUUGAACAAAGGGAGAAAAUCACAGUGCAUACGUUUAGAAUAUAAAUAAAAGCCAGCUAAACGAUUACAAAAAAUCGUUAAUACAAAAAAAAAAAAAAUAAUAAAGUAAAAAUAAAAACUGUGACGGUAAAAUUUCAAAUGAUUAUUUGCAUAGCUUCAUCCGACGUUGACCAAUUUGUGGGUUUAUCUAGUGCACGCUGUACGAAUUGUGGACAGGCCAACACCAAUGUUUGUUCUUCGGCUUUGGUUUCAAUUUAGUGUUAAAGAAGUAAACAAAAAAUAAAUAAUGAUCAUAAUAAUGUUGUAAAUACAUACAUAUAUGUUAAUAUAUAUGAAAGCUUACUAAUAUUGAGCUAUUAGUAGUAAUCCAAAUGAAAAUGUAUCUUAACGCAAAACCCUUUAUCUAAUAGAUUAAAACGACAACAGAAAAGUUUUUAAAUUAUUUUAAUUGUAA